rnacentral:lncRNA from 1 species
CAUGCAGUUACUGGAUUUGAAAAUUGGACAGCAAUGCAACAAUUUCGCCAAGGGAGCCGACGAGGAGCGCGUCACCCGACAAAACAGGCGCGAUUCAUAUUCAAGUAAAGAGGCCAGAACAGUCCGCAGACUCGAACAACAGAGCGAAAACCAGUUUUUUGAAGAGUCUGAAGGGCAACUCUACGGACCAGGAAUCGCUGAUUAGCAUAUUAAUGCGAUGGAAAUUGCGACCUGCACCUUUCCCGCCGCACGACAAAUGCACACUCGAGACGCCUCGGUGAAAUGCUUGUACCAGGCAUAAUAUGACAUAUAUCUUAAU